rnacentral:rRNA from 1 species
GUGAGGAAUAUUGGUCAAUGGGCGGGAGCCUGAACCAGCCAAGUCGCGUGAAGGAAGAAGGAUCUAUGGUUCGUAAACUUCUUUUGCAGGGGAAUAAAGUGCAGGACGUGUCCUGUUUUGUAUGUACCCUGAGAAUAAGGAUCGGCUAACUCCGUGCCAGCAGCCGCGGUAAUACGGAGGAUCCGAGCGUUAUCCGGAUUUAUUGGGUUUAAAGGGUGCGCAGGCGGGUUGAUAAGUCAGCGGUGAAAGUUUGCAGCUUAACUGUAAAAUUGCCGUUGAAACUGUCGAUCUUGAGUGCAAAUGAGGUAAGCGGAAUGUGUUGUGUAGCGGUGAAAUGCUUAGAUAUAACACAGAACACCGAUUGCGAAGGCAGCUUACUGGGAUGCAACUGACGCUCAUGCACGAAAGCGUGGGGAUCAAACAGGAUUAGAUACCCUGGUAGUCC